CAAAAAUGUAUUUAAUUGGAAGGAAUUAUUAGGGGCAGCAAUCAUUUUGUCUCACAAUAAUUUGAUUACAAAAACAAAUUAACAGAAGAUUUCUUUUCUGCUAAAUAAAAUUAAAUCUAAUGAAAUGCUUUUUUCUAAGGUUUCCAGUGUGAGAUUAUGUUGCUGCAGUAAAAGACUAAAUUGAAACAUCUUUGUCAGUAAAUGCAGUGAAUGACCAUCAGAUCUGCUGUGCCCUCUUUUUGUUCAUGUAAUAACAGUCCUUAGAUCUCAUCAAUUCCUCUACAGAAGGUUUUUUAUCCGUCUAGAUACCGACUGACCGACUGAAAUGAGGUCCAAGCAUCACCUUGUUGAGUCUUCACAGUUAAAACAGAAAUUAAAAAAAUCAUCCAAUGAGAACUUAUUUACAGUUACAGAGUUUAAUUUUACAUAAGGCAACAGCUUCAUUUCAGUCAUCAUAACAAAACACUGUUUGUGCGGCUACAUCAUCAUAUGUUAGGAGGUCACUUAAAAAUGAAUCACAACAGAUUUAAGUUGAGUUUUUACAAGUGUUAACGUUAACAUUUUUAUAACAACACAGAACAGGUAACACUGGCAUCAGUUAUUAUUUUCCCAGCUCCAAUAGUUAGUUUUGUUUUCCAGUCGUAAAGCAGGGCUUUGGGUCAAACCCGUCAGCAGAAACCAAAAUGGCUGCCAGAUAAAGUUGCCGUGUUUGACAGGAAAACGAAGCUCAACUAAGAUUCACACCGCCAUGACAAUCUGGCAGUGCAUUACAGUAACACUAUGUGAGCAGAGCUGCAGCACAAACUAAAAUACAAAACGUUUUGUCAACUUCAUAAUCUGUAACGCAACUUCAAUACAACGCCACUGACAUAAAGAAAUCCAGGAUACGGUAAGGCUGCGUAGGUUAAGCUGCUAAUGCUGCUGAAUUCACUGAGCUGCAGAUCAUUUAGGUUAAAUGAGCUGAAUGCAGCCAAACCAGUCAGAGCACAGGUCACAUGUCUGCUUUUGGUACAACAAAAGCACACAUGUUUAAG